CGGAACGUGCCCAGUAGCGGGGGAUAACUACGCGAAAGCGUAGCUAAUACCGCAUACGCCCUACGGGGGAAAGGGGGGGAUCGUAAGACCUCUCACUAUUGGAGCGGCCGAUAUCGGAUUAGCUAGUUGGUGGGGUAAAGGCUCACCAAGGCGACGAUCCGUAGCUGGUUUGAGAGGACGACCAGCCACACUGGGACUGAGACACGGCCCAGACUCCUACGGGAGGCAGCAGUGGGGAAUUUUGGACAAUGGGGGAAACCCUGAUCCAGCCAUUCCGCGUGUGCGAUGAAGGCCUUCGGGUUGUAAAGCACUUUUGGCGGGAAAGAAAUCGGUCGGGCUAAUACCCUGACCGGAUGACGGUACCCGCAGAAUAAGCACCGGCUAACUACGUGCCAGCAGCCGCGGUAAUACGUAGGGUGCAAGCGUUAAUCGGAAUUACUGGGCGUAAAGCGUGCGCAGGCGGUUCGGAAAGAAAGAUGUGAAAUCCCUGGGCUCAACCUUGGAACUGCAUUUUUAACUACCGGGCUAGAGUGUGUCAGAGGGAGGUGGAAUUCCGCGU
rnacentral:rRNA from 1 species